CAACCACAUAUCACAGUCAGUACAUUCAUCUACAGAUAGCUAGGUGGGACAACCACAUAUCACAGUCAUAGUCAGUACAUUCAUCUACAGAUAGCUAGGUGGGACAACCACAUAUCACAGUCAUAGUCAGUACAUUCAUCUACAGAUAGCUAGGUGGGACAACCACAUAUCACAGUCAUAGUCAGUACAUUCAUCUACAGAUAGCUAGGUGGGACAACCACAUAUCACAGUCAUAGUCAGUACAUUCAUCUACAGAUAGCUAGGUGGGACAACCACAUAUCACAGUCAUAGUCAGUACAUUCAUCUACAGAUAGCUAGGUGGGACAACCACAUAUCACAGUCAGUACAUUCAUCUACAGAUAGCUAGGUGGGACAACCACAUCUCACAGUCAGUACAUUCAUCUACAGAUAGCUAGGUGAGACAACCACAUAUCACAGUCAUAGUCAGUAGAUUCAUCUUCAGAUAGCUAGGUGAGACAACCACAUAUCACAGUCAUAGUCAGUAGAUUCAUCUUCAGAUAGCUAGGUGGGACAACCACAUAUCACAGUCAUAGUCAGUAGAUUCAUCUACAGAUAGCUAGGUGGGACAACCACAUAUCACAGUCAUAGUCAGUACAUUCAUCUAGAGAUAGCUAGGUGAGACAACCACAUAUCACAGUCAUAGUCAGUACAUUCAUCUACAGAUAGCUAGGUGGGACAACCACAUAUCACAGUCAUAGUCAGUAGAUUCAUCUACAGAUAGCUAGGUGGGACAACCACAUAUCACAGUCAGUACAUUCAUCUACAGAUAGCUAGGUGAGACAACCACGUAUCACAGUCAGUACAUUGCUUCCUAAUUUUUCUUUGACCCCUGACCUCUGUGUGUGUGUUAAUAUGAUGUAACGGCAGGUUAAUGUGGGUGUCAUGUUACAGCGUUGCUAUAGUAACCAUUCUCUCCCUGUGAUUGGAGAAAAGAUGAUUGACACUCUCCUAAGAGAGGAAACCGAACGUUGUGAUAGAAAUACCAUGAAUAGAUCAUCUGAGCUGUUAUACACGAUAGAAACUCCAAUCAAUAGAUCUGAAAAACACUCCACAAGACUUAGUGCUAUAAUAUCAUGAGUAGAUCGGCACUGUCUGUUCUAUGUGCUGUCUGUUCUACAUGGUCUGUGUCUAUGUGCUGUCUGUUCUACAUGGUCUGUGUCUAUGUGCUGUCUGUUCUACAUGAUCUGUGUCUAUGUGCUGUCUGUUCUACAUGAUCUGUGUCUAUGUGCUGUCUGUUCUACAUGAUCUGUGUCUAUGUGCUGUCUGUUCUACAUGAUCUGUGUCUAUGUGCUGUCUGUUCUACAUGAUCUGUGUCUGUGUGCUGUCUGUUCUACAUGAUCUGUGUCUAUGUGCUGUCUGUUCUACAUGAUCUGUGUCUAUGUGCUGUCUGUUCUACAUGAUCUGUGUCUGUGCUGUCUGUUCUACAUGAUCUGUGUCUAUGCGGUUGUCUUGAAGGUAAUGUUGUAUAGUUGUAUAUUUCAGAAACCAACGCUACCUUGGUCUUCAGAGGUCUGUCAGAAACUUGGAUUUUAUCAUCAUGUUUUAAACUGCUGUUUCAGACACAAAUGUUGCAACGUCAAUCUGGUGGUUUUUAUUGGUAUAUUUUGUUAUUGUAUUCUAGUGUUCUGGUCCCCUGUUAGCAAUCAAAGUGUAUCUGUCCCUCUGACGUGCUUCGAUCAAGCUUUGUACAAAGUGCCCUAAAUUAUUUGUUAUGAUUGAGAAAUAAAGUUUCACAUUUUAAUAAAUAAUUAGAUCUAUA